rnacentral:rRNA from 1 species
UAUCGUAUACUAAAGUUGUUGCAGUUAAAAAGCUCGUAGUUGGAUCUCGGGCGCGGGCCUGCGGUCCUGGCUCGUGUCAGGUACUGCUCGUCCCGGCCUACCUUCUGGUCGUCCCUUGGUGCCCUUGAUCGGGUGUCUCGGGUGGCCGGAACGUUUACUUUGAAAAAAUUAGAGUGUUCAAAGCAGGCCCCGGUGCCUGAAUGAUGGUGCAUGGAAUAAUAGAAGAGGACCUCGGUUCUAUUCUGUUGGUCUUCGGAUCGCGAGGUAAUGAUUGAGAGGGACUGCCGGGGGCAUUCGUAUUACGGUGUUAGAGGUGAAAUUCUUGGAUCGCCGUAAGACGAACUACUGCGAAAGCAUUUGCCAAGAAUGUUUUCAUUAAUCAAGAACGAAAGUCAGAGGUUCGAAGACGAUCAGAUACCGUCGUAGUUCUGACCAUAAACGAUGCCAACUAACGAUUCGCCGGCGUUGUCUCUAUGACUCGGCGGGCAGCUCCCGGGAAACCAAAGUCUUUGGGUUCCGGGGGAAGUAUGGUUGCAAAGCUGAAACUUAAAGGAAUUGACGGAAGGGCACCACCAGGAGUGGAGCCUGCGGCUUAAUUUGACUCAACACGGGGAAACUCACCCGGCCCGGACACCGCGAGGAUUGACAGAUUGAGAGCUCCUUCUUGAUUCGGUGGGUGGUGGUGCAUGGCCGUUCUUAGUUGGUGGAGCGAUUUGUCUGGUUAAUUCCGAUAACGAACGAAACUCUAGCCUAUUAAAUAGUUCGCCCGUUGUGACCG